rnacentral:rRNA from 1 species
GAUGAACGCUGGCGGCGUGCCUAACACAUGCAAGUCGAACGGAGUCCAGCCUUUAAGACCUUCGGGUCAAAGAGGGGAAGACUGAGUGGCGGACGGGUGAGUAACACGUGGGCAACCUGGCUCAUAGAGGGGGAUAACAGAGAGAAAUUUCUGCUAAUACCGCAUAAGCACACACUGCCGCAUGGCAGAGGGUGAAAGGAGAAUCGCGAUGAGAUGGACGCGCGUCUGAUUGGCCAGGUGGCAGGGUAAGUGCCUGCCAAAGAGACGUUCAGUACCCGAGAGGGGAGGAUGAACGGCCACGUUGGAACUGAGACACGGACCAAACUCCGACGGAAGGGAGGAGAAGGGGAUAUUGCACAAUGAGGGGAACCGUAAUGCAGCGACGCCGCGUGAGUGAAGAAGUAUGUCGGUAUGUAAAGCUCUAUCAGCAGAGGAGAGAAUGACAGUACCGGAAUAAGAAGCCCCGGCUAACUACGUG